CUGCAGCCAAUUAACACGAGCAUCCUCCUUUCCCCACAGGGACCCAGUGUGCAAUGGCUGCAGACAGCAGCCUCCUUGGUAGUGGAAGCAACCAAUUGCUUGUAUGGGUGGCCCUAAGGGACCCUGGAGACAGCC